AAUUCGGAAACAUGAAAAAGAGGACGUCGAGUUCUGUGUCUGUAUUUUCAAUGUCAUGUGGUUUUUCUAGAAAGAUACAAAUGCUGGGCAGAGUAUAUCGCCAUAUACGUACCGCCACACGUAAUGAUGACUAAGCGUUGCACCUAACCCUUAAAAUAUUAUUGGCACAGCAGCUGCUUUUCCUUCCUCCGCUUACUUCCUGGCUCUACUUAAAUAGCCAUCACUCCUCACACUUCAAUUCAAAUUCAAUCGAUGUGCCACUGUUUUGUUCACAAAAGAUAAAAAGACACCGCUACCGCCACCGCCACCGCCGCCGCCGGCAGAAUUCCUGAAGCUGCUCUUACGCCGCACUUCAACACUUACGCCUCUCCGUCUUCAAACGGUGCGUUCAAUCACAAGCCCUAAACUGUGUGUACAUAGUUGGUGAGAUGUAUUGCUAUGAGCGAUUUACUGAUCUAUAGUUGGAGGCUUAAUUUCUAAGCUUUGGCUGAAGAAUUCCAUCCAUCUAAAACAGUGGCGGACCUGUGCUUGUACAAGCGUAUCCAGUUGAACACUUGUCAAAAUCUUUUACUAAUUUUAUGUGUAAAUUAUUGUCAAACCAUGAAAAAGUUGUUUAACAGAUGUUGAAUCCACUUGACAUUGACAAAAAGGAAACUUUUGGAGCAAUGUUCAAGCGGGGUCAUGAUAUGCCCCGGGGCUUUAUGACAACAUUCUUGCCAACUCUAAUGCAUUUAUGGUAACGGAGAUUUCAGUUGAGAAGAUAUUCUUGGCUCAAAAGGUAACAUCCAAGGGUAUUCGCUCUUCAACAUGCCAAAACAUAAGUGUUAUGCAAGGAAAGUGAUUGUCUUGUAGCGAUACACUGCAUUGGAGCUGCUUCUGGGAUCAAGAUUGUUACAAUCAAGUGAUGGCUUUUGACUCAUGCUUUUUGGAGUUUCGAUUGUUCCAACUUCCAAAUGGGUAACAGAUAAAUGCUUCUCUUGUUCUGCUGAAUCAUUUUCCGGUUUCUAGAGAGGGACUCAUGACUAUGCCUUCCCAUAUUUCUUUGUUCUUGAAACACCUCGCUUUUACUAGAGAUUUUGGGAUUAAGGCAUACUUAUUGUUGUAUUCGCUUUCAAAUUAUCUUGGCUAAAGUAGAGUUAUUUCUCAGCUUCCAUUUCAUGUUUCAUGAAAUUAUUGUGUAUUUGAUCGGUACAUGUGUUUUGUCAGCUGCCAAGUUGUACGUAUUCAUGACACUUGAGAGUUUGGAAAUGCCCAAAGAUGUCGGUUCUCAACUUUCAUUUCGUAUGUAUAUGACAUGAAUAUAUAAUUGGUCAUCCACAACUGCUAAAUA